UACGGAGGGGGCGAGCGUUGUCCGGAAUCAUUGGGCGUAAAGGGCGCGUAGGUGGCGCGGUAAGCGUGCGGUGAAAGCCUGGGGCUCAACCCCGGGUCGGCCGUGCGAACUGCUGGGCUUGAGCACUGUAGAGGCAGGCGGAAUUCCGGGUGUAGCGGUGGAAUGCGUAGAGAUCCGGAAGAACACCGGUGGCGAAGGCGGCCUGCUGGGCAGUUGCUGACACUGAGGCGCGACAGCGUGGGGAGCAAACAGG
rnacentral:rRNA from 1 species